rnacentral:lncRNA from 1 species
CUUCCACUUGUAUUAAAGCCAAUCUACCAUAUACCAAGCCCCAUCUUCUCAAGACAGAUUUUAGUCUUCGGCUAGCUAAGUGAUUUUUCAGUGGGUCUACCAUAUCUCAUGUGGAGUCUGCUCUCUACACCUCUAUAUAUUUCUACUUGAGGUAGUCGUGUAUACUGUUGUUCUAUAUAGUUGGAUUUCUGAUGAGAUCUUGGCUUCUUAGCGAGGGC